rnacentral:rRNA from 1 species
UACGUAGGUGGCAAGCGUUGUCCGGAUUUACUGGGCGUAAAGGAUACGUAGGCGGACAUUUAAGUCAGAUGUGAAAUACCCGGGCUCAACUUGGGUGCUGCAUUUGAAACUGGGUGUCUAGAGUGCAGGAGAGGAAAGCGGAAUUCCUAGUGUAGCGGUGAAAUGCGUAGAGAUUAGGAAGAACACCAGUGGCGAAGGCGGCUUUCUGGACUGUAACUGACGCUGAGGCAUGAAAGCGUGGGGAGCAAACAGG